rnacentral:rRNA from 1 species
CAGUCGCCACGGUAAAACGUAGGUGGCAAGCGUUGUCCGGAAUUAUUGGGCGUAAAGGGCUCGCAGGCGGUUUCUUAAGUCUGAUGUGAAAGCCCCCGGCUCAACCGGGGAGGGUCAUUGGAAACUGGGAAACUUGAGCGCAGAAGAGGAGAGUGGAAUUCCACGUGUAGCGGUGAAAUGCGUAGAGAUGUGGAGGAACACCAGUGGCGAAGGCGACUCUCUGGUCUGUAACUGACGCUGAGGAGCGAAAGCGUGGGGAGCGAACAGGAUUAGAGACCCCUGUAGUCCCUGUCUCUUAUAC